rnacentral:piRNA from 1 species
CCCUCCAUUUAUUAGAGGACAAAUGUAG